UAAAGGAAUUGGCGGGGGAGCACUGCAACGUGUGGAGCGUGCGGUUUAAUUGGAUUCAACGCCGGAAAACUCACCGGGGGCGACGGUUACAUGAAGGCCAAGCUGAUGACUUUGCCUGAUUUUCCGAGAGGUGGUGCAUGGCCGCCGUCAGUUCGUACCGUAAGGCGUUCUGUUAAGUCAGAUAACGAACGAGACCUCCGUCACCAUUUGCUAUUCUCCUCUCCGGAGGGGGAGCACUAUGGUGAUACCGCCACUGUUAAAGUGGAGGAAGGAGGGGGCAACGGUAGGUCGGUAUGCCCCGAAUCUCCCGGGCUACACGCGCGCUACAAAGGUCAGGACAAUGGGCUUCGACACCGAAAGGUGAAGGCAAUCCCUAAACCUGCUCGUAAUUCGGAUUGAGGGCUGCAAUUCGCCCUCAUGAAGCUGGAAUACGUAGUAAUACGCGGGUCAACAUCCCGCGGUUGAAUAUGCCCCUGCUCCUUGCUCCCACCGCCA
rnacentral:rRNA from 1 species